AAUGAACGUUGGCGGCGUGGAUUAGGCAUGCAAGUCGAACGAGAUCUGUAGCAAUACAGUGAAAGUGGCGUAAGGGAGAGUAACACGUAGGUACCUGCCCUCGGGUCUGGGAUAGCUGCGGGAGACUGCAAUUAAUACCGGAUGACGUCUCUGGACCAAAGGUGUGAUUCCGCCAGGGGAUGGGCCUGCGUCCUAUCAGCUAGUUGGUGUGGUAACGGCGCACCAAGGCUAAGACGGGUACGGGGUGUGAGAGCAUGCCCCCGCUCGCUGGGACUGAGAUACUGCCCAGACACCUACGGGUGGCUGCAGUCGAGAAUCUUCCGCAAUGGGCGCAAGCCUGACGGAGCGACGCCGCGUGUGGGAUGAAGGCCUUCGGGUUGUAAACCACUGUCAGUGGGGAGCAAAUGCAUCAGGGUUCUCCCUGGUGUUUGAGCGAUCCGCAGAGGAAGCACAGGCUAAUUCCGUGCCAGCAGCCGCGGUAAAAC
rnacentral:rRNA from 1 species